rnacentral:rRNA from 1 species
AUACGGGGGGUGCAAGCGUUAAUCGGAAUUACUGGGCGUAAAGCGCGCGUAGGCGGUUUGCUCAGUCGGAUGUGAAAGCCCAGGGCUCAACCUUGGAACCGCAUACGAUACUGGCAAACUAGAGUGUGAGAGAGGAUAGUGGAAUUUCCGGUGUAGCGGUGAAAUGCGUAGAUAUCGGAAGGAACAUCAGUGGCGAAGGCGACUGUCUGGCUCAACACUGACGCUGAGGUGCGAAAGCGUGGGUAGCAAACAGGAUUAGAAACCCUAGUAGUCC